GCGUGGCGGCAGCUACCAUGCAGUCGAACGGUAACAGGAAGCAAGCUUGCUUCUUUGCUGACGAGUGGCGGACGGGUGAGUAAUGUCUGGGAAACUGCCUGAUGGAGGGGGAUAACUACUGGAAACGGUAGCUAAUACCGCAUAACGUCGCAAGACCAAAGAGGGGGACCUUCGGGCCUCUUGCCAUCGGAUGUGCCCAGAUGGGAUUAGCUAGUAGGUGGGGUAACGGCUCASCUAGGACAAGAUCAGMUCUCCUAGCGUGKUCWGAGAGAGAUGACCAGCCACACUGGAACUGGARACCACGGUCCAGAGMUCUCUACGGGAGGCAGCCAGUGGGGAAUAUUGCCACAAUGGGCGCAAGGCCUUGAUGCAAGCCAUGCCGCUGUGUAUGAAGAAGGCCUUCGGGUUGUWAAGUACUUUCAGCGGGGAGGAAGGGAGUAAAGUUAAUACCUUUGCUCAUUGACGUUACCCGCAGAAGAAGCACCGGCUAACUCCGUGCCAGCAGCCGCGGUAAUACGGAGGGUGCAAGCGUUAAUCGGAAUUACUGGGCGUAAAGCGCACGCAGGCGGUUUGUUAAGUCAGAUGUGAAAUCCCCGGGCUCAACCUGGGAACUGCAUCUGAUACUGGCAAGCUUGAGUCUCGUAGAGGGGGGUAGAAUUUCCAGGUGUAGCGGUGAAAUGCGUAGAGAUCUGGAGGAAUACCGGUGGCGAAGGCGGCCCCCUGGACGAAGACUGACGCUCAGGUGCGAAAGCGUGGGGAGCAAACAGGAUUAGAUACCCUGGUAGUCCACGCCGUAAACGAUGUCGACUUGGAGGUUGUGCCCUUGAGGCGUGGCUUCCGGAGCUAACGCGUUAAGUCGACCGCCUGGGGAGUACGGCCGCAAGGUUAAAACUCAAAUGAAUUGACGGGGGCCCGCACAAGCGGUGGAGCAUGUGGUUUAAUUCGAUGCAACGCGAAGAACCUUACCUGGUCUUGACAUCCACGGAAGUUUUCAGAGAUGAGAAUGUGCCUUCGGGAACCGUGAGACAGGUGCUGCAUGGCUGUCGUCAGCUCGUGUUGUGAAAUGUUUGGGUUAAGUUCCCGCAACGAGCGCAACCCUUAUUCCUUUUGUUGCCAGGCGKUCCGGCCGGGAACUCAARGGAGAACUGUCSAGUUGAUWAACUGGAGGAAGGUGGGGAAUAGAACGUCAAGUCAUCAUGGGCCCUUACGACACAGGGUCUACACCACGUGCUACAWUGGCGCWUACAAGAGRGARGCGACCUCKCGRGAGCAGAGCACGGACCUCAUAAAGUGCGUCGUAGUCCGGAUUGGAGUCUGCAACUCGACUCCAUGAAGUCGGAAUCGCUAGUAAUCGUGGAUCAGAAUGCCACGGUGAAUACGUUCCCGGGCCUUGUACACACCGCCCGUCACACCAUGGGAGUGGGUUGCAAAAGAAGUAGGUAGCUUAACCUUCGGGAGGGCGCUUACCACUUUGUGAUUCAUGACUGGGGUGAAGUCGUAACAAGAGCCUGGG
rnacentral:rRNA from 1 species